UUUUUGGUUUGGGGGGGGGAUUUCUGUUGACACGGUAGGAGUCGAGGGAUGUUUUGGUUUGGGGGAUGUCUGUUGACAUGGUAGGAGUCGAGGGAUGUUUUGGUUUGGGGCGAUGUCUGUUGACACGGUAGGAGUCGAGGGAUGUUUUGGUUUGGGGGGAUGUCUGUUGACACGGUAGGAGUCGAGGGAUGUUUUGGUUUGGGGGAUGUCUGUUGACACGGUAGGAGUCGAGGGAUGUUUUGGUUUGGGGGAUGUCUGUUGACGAGGGAUGAGUCGAGGGAUGUUUUGGUUUGGGGGAUGUCUGUUGACAUGGCAGGAGUCGAGGGAUUCGAGGGAUGUUUUGGUUUGAUGGGGAUGUCUGUUGACACGGUAGGAGUCGAGGGAUGUUUUGGUUUGGGGGAUGUCUGUUGACACGGUAGGAGUCGAGGGAUGUUUUGGUUUGGGGGAUGUCUGUUGACACGGUAGGAGUCGAGGGAUGUUUUGGUUUUGGGGGAUGGGAUGUCUGUUGACAUGGCAGGAGUCGAGGGAUGUUUUGGUUUAGGGGGAUGUUUUGGUUUGGGGGAUGUCUGUUGACAUGGCAGGAGUCGAGGGAUGUUUUGGUUUGGGGGAUGUCUGUUGACAUGGCGAGAGUCGAGGGAUGUUUUGGUUUGGGGGAUGUCUGUUGACAUGGUAGGAGUCGAGGGAUCACACUGUCAGCAGCGUCUCUCUGCCACUCGGCCUAUGUAGCGGCCGGAGUUUCCCGUUGGACAGAGCGGUGAGUGAAUGUGUUGCUAACGAGGCAAAUCCAGGGGAGCAGGCGAACAUAACGAGCAUUCAUGAAUCAUUCAUGAUUUCACUCGUUAGCAAAGGUAAGUGCGAUUACAACUCAGAUCAACGCUGGGAAAGCAAUAAUAAGUGGAUAAACGAUCAUUAACAAAAUAAAAAGGCAAGUAAACUAUUUCACAAAUAAAAAUGUGUGUAAAUGGCAUUUACCCUCCACUACAUCCCUGGAUGGGUCUGGCAAAACCAUUCAUCAACAUCUAUAUCCUGCCAGGCAGGAGGAUGGAAUCUACAUUUGUCCGACAUUUUAGCUGUCGAUAUGACUUGUGACGACGCAUAACCAGUC
ensembl:lncRNA